rnacentral:rRNA from 1 species
UACGUAGGGUGCGAGCGUUAAUCGGAAUUACUGGGCGUAAAGCGUGCGCAGGCGGUUGUAUAAGACAGAUGUGAAAUCCCCGGGCUCAACCUGGGAACUGCAUUUGAGACUGUACGGCUAGAGUGUGGCAGAGGGGGGUAGAAUUCCACGUGUAGCAGUGAAAUGCGUAGAGAUGUGGAGGAAUACCGAUGGCGAAGGCAGCCCCCUGGGCCAAUACUGACGCUCAUGCACGAAAGCGUGGGGAGCAAACAGG